rnacentral:rRNA from 1 species
UGGCGGCGUGCUUAACACAUGCAAGUCGAACGAUGAACUGGAGCUUGCUCCAGGGAUUAGUGGCGAACGGGUGAGUAACACGUGAGUAACCUGCCCUUGACUCUGGGAUAAGCGCUAGAAAUGGCGUCUAAUACCGGAUACGAGCUUCAGCCGCAUGGCUAGGAGUUGGAAAGAAUUUUGGUCAAGGAUGGACUCGCGGCCUAUCAGCUAGUUGGUGAGGUAAUGGCUCACCAAGGCGACGACGGGUAGCCGGCCUGAGAGGGUGACCGGCCACACUGGGACUGAGACACGGCCCAGACUCCUACGGGAGGCAGCAGUGGGGAAUAUUGCACAAUGGGCGAAAGCCUGAUGCAGCAACGCCGCGUGAGGGAUGACGGCCUUCGGGUUGUAAACCUCUUUUAGUAGGGAAGAAGCGAAAGUGACGGUACCUGCAGAAAAAGCACCGGCUAACUACGUGCCAGCAGCCGCGGUAAUACGUAGGGUGCAAGCGUUGUCCGGAAUUAUUGGGCGUAAAGAGCUCGUAGGCGGUUUGUCGCGUCUGCUGUGAAAUCUGGGGGCUCAACCCCCAGCCUGCAGUGGGUACGGGCAGACUAGAGUGCGGUAGGGGAGAUUGGAAUUCCUGGUGUAGCGGUGGAAUGCGCAGAUAUCAGGAGGAACACCGAUGGCGAAGGCAGAUCUCUGGGCCGUAACUGACGCUGAGGAGCGAAAGCAUGGGGAGCGAACAGGAUUAGAUACCCUGGUAGUCCAUGCCGUAAACGUUGGGAACUAGAUGUGGGGGCCAUUCCACGGUCUCCGUGUCGCAGCUAACGCA